rnacentral:rRNA from 1 species
CAUGUCUUUUUGUAUUUAAUGUAAAGUCUAAUCUGCCCACUGAUAUAAUUAUUAAAUGGCCGCAGUAUUUUAACUGUGCAAAGGUAGCAUAAUCAGUAGUCUUUUAAUUGAAGACUUGUAUGAAUGAUUGAACGAGAUAUAAACUGUCUUAAAAAAAGUAAUUUGAAUUUUAUUUUUUAGUUAAAAAGCUAAAUUAAUUUUAAAAGACGAGAAGACCCUAUAGAUCUUUAUAAAAAUAUUAUUUAUUUUUUAAAGUUUAUAGUUUAAAUUUAUAUUUAUUUUUAUUUUAUUGGGGUGAUAUUGAAAUUUAAUUAACUUUCAUUGGUUAUUAGCCAUUAAUUUAUGAUUAAUUGAUCCUUUAUUAUUGAUUAAAAAUUUAAGUUACCUUAGGGAUAACAGCGUAAUUAUUUUGGAGAGUUCUUAUUGAUAAAAUAGAUUGCGACCUCGAUGUUGGAUUAAGAUUAAUUCUGGGUGUAGCAGUUCAGAAUAUUAAGUCUGUUCGACUUUUAAUUUCU